rnacentral:rRNA from 1 species
ACGGCUUACCAAGGCAACGAUCAGUAGCCGACCUGAGAGGGUGACCGGCCACAUUGGGACUGAGACACGGCCCAAACUCCUACGGGAGGCAGCAGUGGGGAAUAUUGCACAAUGGGGGAAACCCUGAUGCAGCAACGCCGCGUGAAGGAAGAAGGUCUUCGGAUUGUAAACUUUUGUCCUCAGUGAAGAUAAUGACGGUAGCUGAGGAGGAAGCUCCGGCUAACUAC